GAUUAUUGUGAUGAUUCAUAAUAACUGAUCGGAUCAAGGUGUACCUUGAUAGAUCAUUCAAGUUUCUGCCCUAUCAGCUUUCGAUGGUAGUGUAUUGGACUACCAUGGCAGUCACGGGUAACGGAGAAUUAGGGGUUCGAUUCCGGAGAGGGGAGCCUGAGAAACGGCUACCACAUCUACGGAAGGCAGCAGGCGCGUAAAAUUACCCAAUCCUGAUUCAGGGAGGUAGUGACAAGAAAUAACAACUCGGGGCCUCACGGCUUACGAGAUUGCAAUGAGAACAAUUUAAAUCUCUUAGCGAGGAACAAUUGGAGGGCAAGUCUGGUGCCAGCAGCCGCGGUAAUUCCAGCUCCAAUAGCGUAUAUUAAAGUUGUUGCAGUUAAAAAGCUCGUAGUUGAAUUUCUGAUUAUGGAUGUAGCGG
rnacentral:rRNA from 1 species